AGUGAACGCUGGCGGUAGGCCUAACACAUGCAAGUCGAACGGCAGCACAGUAAUAGCUUGCUCUUACGGGUGGCGAGUGGCGGACGGGUGAGGAAUACAUCGGAAUCUACUUUUUCGUGGGUGAUAACGUAGGGAAACUUACGCUAAUACCGCAUACGACCUACGGGUGAAAUCAGGGGAUCUUCGGACCUUGCGCGAUUGAAUGAGCCGAUGUCGGAUUAGCUAGUUGGCGGGGUAAAGGCCCACCAAGGCGACGAUCCGUAGCUGGUCUGAGAGGAUGAUCAGCCACACUGGAACUGAGACACGGUCCAGACUCCUACGGGAGGCAGCAGUGGGGAAUAUUGGACAAUGGGCGGAAGCCUGAUCCAGCAAUACCGCGUGGGUGAAGAAGGCCUUCGGGUUGUAAAGCCCUUUUGUUGGGAAAGAAAAGCAGCAGGUUAAUACCCCGCUGUUCUGACGGUACCCAAAGAAUAAGCACCGGCUAACUUCGUG
rnacentral:rRNA from 1 species